CUACGUGCCAGCAGCCGCGGUAAUACGUAGGUCCCGAGCGUUGUCCGGAUUUAUUGGGCGUAAAGCGAGCGCAGGCGGUUAGAUAAGUCUGAAGUUAAAGGCUGUGGCUUAACCAUAGUACGCUUUGGAAACUGUUUAACUUGAGUGCAAGAGGGGAGAGUGGAAUUCCAUGUGUAGCGGUGAAAUGCGCAGAUAUCAGGAAGAACACCGGUGGCGAAGGCGGGUCUCUGGGCCGUUACUGACGCUGAGGAGCGAAAGCGUGGGGAGCGAACAGGAUUAGAUACCCUGGUAGUCCACGCUGUAAACGUUGGGCACUAGGUGUGGGGGCCACCCGUGGUUUCUGCGCCGUAGCUAACGCUUUAAGUGCCCCGCCUGGGGAGUACGGCCGCAAGGCUAAAACUCAAAGGAAUUGACGGGGGCCCGCACAAGCGGUGGAGUAUGUGGUUUAAUUCGACGCAACGCGAAGAACCUUACCAGGUCUUGACAU
rnacentral:rRNA from 1 species